rnacentral:rRNA from 1 species
UUAUCUCUGUAGAGUCUGCAUAUCAAUAAGCGGAGGAAAAGAAACUAACUAAGGAUUCCCUCAGUAACGGCGAGUGAAGCGGGAAGAGCUCAAAUUUGAAAUCUUCAAGGUUCUACCUUGACGAAUUGUAGUUUAAAGAAGUGUUUUCUGUUAGAUGAGUAGCAAAAGUUCCUUGGAAUAGGGACAUCAUAGAGGGUGAGAAUCCCGUAUUUGGUUAUUCAUUCUAGCUUUGUGAUACACUUUCAAAGAGUCGGAUUGUUUGGGAAUGCAGUCCAAAAUGGGUGGUAAAUUUCAUCUAAAGCUAAAUAUUGGCGAGGGACCGAUAGCGAACAAGUACCGUGAGGGAAAGAUGAAAAGAACUUUGAAAAGAGAGUUAAACAGUACGUGAAAUUGUCAAAAGGGAAGCGUUUGACACCAGUGUUGUUUUCUCGAAAAUCAAUUAAAAAAAGGCAGGAUUUUGUGUUGUAUUGACCUUAAAAGCUUUCUUGCACUUUUUUCAUGUCUUUUUUAAUGCACUUUUCGUUUAACAAGUCAACAUCAAGUUUCUUUUGUUGUAAAAGGGUCAUUGGAAGGUGGCUUUCUUUUCGGAGAAAGUGUUUAUAGCCUUUGGCCUCUGCAAUCGGAGAGAUUGAGGUCUGCAGCGUAGAUCCUUCGGGGUUAGAUACAUUUGUGCUAAGUUAGUAAGCUUUUCAUAGACAACUUGUUGACUAUGUUUAGUCAUGCGGCUUACUCGCUUAUGCUAUUUUACCUACGCUUAGGAUGUUGAAGAUGUAGCACAUCAU